UACGGAGGGGGCUAGCGUUGUUCGGAAUUACUGGGCGUAAAGCGCACGUAGGCGGAUUGGGAAGUUGGGGGUGAAAUCCCGGGGCUCAACCCCGGAACUGCCUCCAAAACUCCCAGUCUGGAGUCCGAGAGAGGUGAGUGGAAUUCCGAGUGUAGAGGUGAAAUUCGUAGAUAUUCGGAGGAACACCAGUGGCGAAGGCGGCUCACUGGCUCGGUACUGACGCUGAGGUGCGAAAGCGUGGGGAGCAAACAGG
rnacentral:rRNA from 1 species